CCGCCGCCGCCGCCCGGGAGCCAGACAUCGCCGGCACUCCGAGCCGGGCAGCCCCGCCGGGCCGCGCAGCCCGCCGCGGAGCUCUCGUUGCCGCCACACUCGACGCGAGAGGCCGCUCCGAGCCCCCCGCUUGCUCUUGGAUCCCACCGGAGAAUUUUAGGAUCCUCCACCGAGGCGGCGCGGCGAUUUACAGGCGGGCGACGGACAGCCCUAGGAGCGCGACGGAGCCGUGAAAGCCCCUGAGGGGCCUUCCGAGGUUCGGGCGCCUCCUAGCGACGUCUGAAGAGCGCGGCUCCUCAGGCUGCGGGGCGGAGUGAAGACUCGCGAGAUGAGGAGCGCGCGUUGUUGGCGCCUCCUGCUGAGGCGCGGCGUGAAGAGCGCGGGCGGACCGAAGGGCGAAGGGAAGGCAGCGCAAAAUCGUCCGUAUGCUCGAGUCUCUGCUCAAGUCCCCGCUCCGAGAGAAGCUCCAAGUUUGUUUGAAGUACUGGAAAGAACUGCAGCUCUCUGGCCAGCCUAUACCAAUACAUACAAAGACAAUUUUGUGUUACAGCAGAAGGUUGGGAGAUACCCAGAAACAGGAAUACUCACAGUUUUCACUUCCAGGUAUGCCUCCAGACCAUAUUCUCCCAGCUCUCUCCCAUUCCCAGAUGCCUUGUAGCCACCAAAUGGAGCUUGUGCACCAAACACAUUAUAGCAGUUUAUCCUGAAAAAGAAACCAAGAGUUAAGAACCUCUUGUUUACCCUUGUAAGGGUAAUGCAAGAGCUCUUUCACAGCAAAUGUCUGUUUACAGCAGAGGGAUGGCUGAAUUUCUGGGCACAAUUUCCAUAUUUGUUAGUUAUCUUAGUCAGCAGUUACUCAGUACUGGAAGUUUAUCUUCAUCGACCAGGAAACAGAACACCAUGAAAUUAGCUCACAUCUUGCAUCACAUAACCAAGAGUCUGGGUUGCUAUCCAAAACUCUGAAGGACAUGUGAUUAAAACAAAAAUGAUACAAGGUUUGCCCAUUGUCCUUAAAUAAAUGAAAUAGUGAGAUGCUGGGUCUCCAAAAUCCCCUGUGUGAACUGUGGCAAAGUCCUGACUUAGGCAUAAUUUUCAGCAUGGCUUCAGAAUACAGAAUAGUAUCUGAGCAGAGCCCAGAUUGUACAGAUGUGCUCGAUGGUCUGAUCACUGCUGGCACCAGAGCCCUGUAGCAGCUGCUGACAUUGUCAGCUGCAGCACUGAGCUUCUUUUCCCCCCACCCCAUUUGCUAAUUCACAGUGGGAGAACAGAAGCUUAUUAGAGCUAAAUUGUACCAAAAAUCAGCAUUGCAGCUGAAGGUCUGACAUUACAUUCUGUGAGGAUCCAAAGCAGACAGAGGCUAUCAAACAGCAAGCUUGAUGGGAAAUGAGAGCACAAGAAAGCUUCUAGCAGUUUAAGGAGAAGGAGCUGACAAGGCUUACCAGACUGUUCCAGCUCGCAGGGCCUGAGACACGUAGUUUGCCUUGUCAAUAUCCUUUGUAAAGACUGCUGCUGCUAGACCAUACUUGGUGUUAUUUGCUCUCUCAAUUAUUUCCUCAAUUGUUUUGAAC